ensembl:lncRNA
UGUCAUGUCCUGCCCCAAACUCUUUCUGCUGUGAUGUUUCUGAUCAGGUCUGAUUUUGUUUCUGGCUGUGUGUUGCAGGAUGUUCACCUCUUCUGUCUACGGUCCUGUUUUCUUUUGCAUCAGUUUGCUGAGUGCAUACUCGGUGCGUCCCACCACUGGCACAAGAAGAAGAGCCGUAAACAAGACAUCCUGGAUAAGCUUUGCUGUCAAUGUGGGUUUGUGGAAACAGAUGACCUACAAUGGAUUGCCUGCAAUAGUUGCAACAAGUGGUUCCAUCAGGGAUGCGUCAACUCUGCAGCAGUGGACAAAGAAUAGCAAUGCGUUGUGUGCAUAUUUUAUUUUUAUUUCAUUCUGUUGAAACGCCCCUUUUUACUUUAAUUUUUGUUGUAUGUUCAAUUGAUUUUAUUAAAACUGUACAUAGUUCCAUGUUGACUUUUUAUUAAAUUAUUUGAAUUAAAUUGCUUUUGCCUAAUUAAUUACUGUAGCAUAAAUUGUUUUACUUAUUAUAUGUAUGUGCAAAUUAUAUUUGACCCAUAUUACAUGUUUGAUUUAAAUAUUAAAAUGUAAUAGAUCUGACAAUUAUUUAGCAUUUUUUUCAUUGUUAUAAAACACAUAACUUUAUCUGGCAUAAAAUAUUUGUAAGCGUUUUAUUUGAAACUGAAAUAAAUUGUCCUUCCACUGUUAC